UACAGAGGGGGCGAGCGUUGUUCGGAAUUACUGGGCGUAAAGCGGGUGUAGGUGGAUCUAUAAGUCAGAAGUGAAAGCCCCGAGCUUAACUUGGGAAGUGCUUUUGAUACUGUAGAUCUUGAAUGUGGGAGAGGAUCGUGGAAUUCCAGGUGUAGUGGUGAAAUACGUAGAUAUCUGGAGGAACACCGGUGGCGAAGGCGGCGAUCUGGCCCAACAUUGACACUGAGGCCCGAAAGCGCGGGGAUCAAACAGG
rnacentral:rRNA from 1 species